UGGAGGCAUUUUCUGAGGCUUCUUCCUAUUCUGGUGUGUAUGAAGCUAACAUAAAACCAACCAGUACAGCAUCCAACUGCUCAUCAUUGUCUACACAACCCUACAGGACAAGCAGGCCUGCAAAAUUUGUUUAUGGCAGCUCUGAGUCACUACUCAUCUGCAUCAGCCGGGACACAGAGGAUGUAAUGCUGGGCCUGUCCUUGAAAAGUCAUAUUCUACAAGGGCCUCUGUCAGGAUUCUCCUCUCAACAGAUCCUGUUCCACUUGAUACUGAGCCAAGCACAGUAGGAGCUGUUUG
rnacentral:lncRNA from 1 species